rnacentral:rRNA from 1 species
GAUGAACGCUGGCGGCGUGCCUAAUACAUGCAAGUCGAGCGAACAGACGAGGAGCUUGCUCCUCUGACGUUAGCGGCGGACGGGUGAGUAACACGUGGAUAACCUACCUAUAAGACUGGGAUAACUUCGGGAAACCGGAGCUAAUACCGGAUAAUAUAUUGAACCGCAUGGUUCAAUAGUGAAAGACGGUUUUGCUGUCACUUAUAGAUGGAUCCGCGCCGCAUUAGCUAGUUGGUAAGGUAACGGCUUACCAAGGCAACGAUGCGUAGCCGACCUGAGAGGGUGAUCGGCCACACUGGAACUGAGACACGGUCCAGACUCCUACGGGAGGCAGCAGUAGGGAAUCUUCCGCAAUGGGCGAAAGCUUGACGGGGCAACGCCGCGUGAGUGAUGAAGGUCUUCGGAUCGUAAAACUCUGUUAUUAGGGAAGAACAAAUGUGUAAGUAACUAUGCACGUCUUGACGGUACCUAAUCAGAAAACCACGGCUAACUACGUG